GAUGAACGCUGGCGGCGUGCUUAACACAUGCAAGUCGAACGAAGCACUCUAUUUGAUUUUCUUCGGAAAUGAAGAUUUUGUGACUGAGUGGCGGACGGGUGAGUAACGCGUGGGUAACCUGCCUCAUACAGGGGGAUAACAGUUGGAAACGACUGCUAAUACCGCAUAAGCGCACAGGAUCGCAUGAUCCGGUGUGAAAAACUCCGGUGGUAUGAGAUGGACCCGCGUCUGAUUAGCCAGUUGGCAGGGUAACGGCCUACCAAAGCAACGAUCAGUAGCCGACCUGAGAGGGUGACCGGCCACAUUGGGACUGAGACACGGCCCAAACUCCUACGGGAGGCAGCAGUGGGGAAUAUUGCACAAUGGGGGAAACCCUGAUGCAGCGACGCCGCGUGAGCGAAGAAGUAUUUCGGUAUGUAAAGCUCUAUCAGCAGGGAAGAAGAAUGACGG
rnacentral:rRNA from 1 species